UCACAAUUAAUUAAUUGAAAUUUGCAAUGAAUAAAUUGACAAAAUAUAAACCAGAGAUUACUUUCUGAUCCCUUUCUUGUGGUAUGCUUCCAAAAUAGACACUUUUCACUUUUGGAGACUGAAGCAAUUUCAUUCAUGUUAGUAAGGGACCUACAAGCUCAACACAAACACUUUUGAAGACAAUUAGUAGCACACCAAUUGUUUAUUAAUCAUCAAAACAAGGAUUAGAACAUUUAGGUCCAA
rnacentral:lncRNA from 1 species